GGAAUAGUGCACUUUAGCCAGCACAAGGACCCCAGUGACAUUCUCAAUGACUGGUCGUUUAACAUUAACACGCUAAUGCAGCUGGUCAACAAAACCAACCACUUAAUCACAAAGGAAGAAAUGGUUCACAAGCUUCACUAGUGCUAAAUCUGUCUGUAUAUACGUUUUUUAUGACAGUUUAUCUAAAGGGAUGACAACUGUUGUGAUAUGUUGUGGAAGAGAGCUUCCAUAAGCCUUUGUAUAUUUCUCAUGAUUUCAAGUAAACUUGAUAUUGU
rnacentral:misc_RNA from 1 species